GGUGGGAGAGUGAGGGUUCAUUAGUACUGUAUUGGAGGCUAGCCUACAAGUGGAAAAUAAAUAAAUAAAUAAAUAAAUCUUAGAUCUGUCUGAAGGGUAUCCCAGGUGUUGGACAGGGAUAGCGACUAGUGAAGUUAAGAAGUCGGCAGUAGUUGAUUGGGUUGGAUACUCAGGUACAUGGUGAGUGAUGGAGAAAGGAGUUGAUGAGAUCCUAGUGAGUGAGGUGUGCUUGCUCUGAUGCUGGGGCUGUGAGCUCAGAGCUCCCUGGAGACAUGGUAGCCUCUGUGCAUAACUGUUAAUGGAUCUUCUGUCCUGUUCAACAGGACUGUGGCCACUUCAUUGCAGGUUUUAUUUCUUCACUGAAGAAGUGCACUUUCAAAGCCCAGUGUCUGACAGACUCUGAAGCUUCUGGAACAAUAAAAGCUGGGAACUUUUCCAGUCCUGAAAUCUCUCCGUGCUCUGGUCAGCGUGGAGCCCAACGCCUCCGCGGUUUGUGUGAGGAAGGGCUGAGGCUGUGCUGUCAGCUCAGUGUCCUGGAUGCCCCUGGGAAACAGCGGACGGGCUGACCGGCCUCGCGUGGGCAAGGGGACUCCAGCCCAGUCUGGGAAGGGCAUGACUGUCACCAGCACGGGAAAAAUAUCUCAGUCAGCAUUCUCCCUGGCAGCACUUCAAACAAGGCCACUGCCUCUUGCAGAUAAACCUUAUCUUUAGCACCAUGGAAAUCCCAGAGGUUUGCGAAAUAAAAUGAGCUUUUCACGUGAUGCAAUUCAUAUAGGCAGAUUUUUAUCAGACUCCAAACACUUUGGCUCUGAAAGCUCUGAGAUUGGAAGUUAUUUAUGGACCUGUAAGAGCUACUUGUACAAACAUGCUACAGAUGGACAAAACUUUCAGCAGUGUUGAGCUCCGGGCUGUCUGAAGUCCAGAUUCCCCAGCUGACAGUAUAAGACAAUCCAGUCCAGGGCAGCAGCACUGUCUGGCAUCUAGACUCUGUGCAGCACGAUGAAAGGGUCACAUUCAUCGGACUGCUUGUGCUUUAGUGCUUAUGACCUCCGACCUCU